CAACCCUUUUGCCGAGUUAAGGUCCGGAUUGCUGAGUUGUGGGGAGCAGGAGGCUGGAAAAAAUAGCUGCUGCUAAGCUGUGCAAUUAUACUCACAAUCGGGUGCUAAUUGCUCUGAGCAGAACACAUCUAACAGGGCCAGAGAUCACCUCCCCUGUUGUUGCAAAGAUUGUCAGCUGUCUGAACAGCAAGGGAUCUUUGCAGACCCAUUAACCUCCUGUUAGGUGUUAAAUGCUUAGAGCAGAAGACUAGUAUGCUUCACUGACAAUAGCAUGCUUCACUGUGUGGUAUUUGCAUAAUAGUGCUAAGAGGGUCAGGGUAUACUAGAUACCACACUAUCCCUGAUAAUGGAGAAGGGAGCACAUACAUAGCAGACAUUGAUUGAUCUCCAAAAGAGCCCAGGAUUACCCUGAUUUUAAACCCCGCAACAUACCUCAGGGCCUUUUGGACACCCAUCCCACCAAGUGAAAUACGAGAUGACAAGCACUGAUUAGUUGCUUUGAAUUAUUUGUUUAAUAAAGUAAUAAAAAGAGAUCAGCAGAAGAUUGAUUCAUGUCAGGUUCUGCAGUUAUACCUGGUGUCCUAACACAGUCCUUACACACAAAUAUCUGCAAAUUGUAGUGACACCUGGUGGACAAAGUAGCUCAGUACAUGCAAUUAGUGAAUUACCACAUACACAUAACAAAUUAAUGGCUGCAUAGUUGCAAAUUGGCACAUCAGGAUGUGGUUUAGUUUGUAACUAUGAGAAUUAAUUUAAAACCCCUAAAGUUUGCAUAUGUGUACAGGCAGCCCCCGCUUAACACGGUUUCACUUAGCACUAUUUCACUAUAGCGCUCAUUUAAAAUUUAUACCUCAUUUUACUUAGUGCUGAGCCAGUUUCGUUAUAGCACUCAGUGAAGCAGCAGCAAGAAGUGGUGAGUGGCAGCAAUUGAGCAGGCAGGUGGGCAUGAGCUUGGGGCCCGCACUGGUGCUGCAGAGCCAGGGCCAGCAGGGGCCCAGGCAAUGUUCCCUCUAAGGAGUAGUGGUCCAUGAGCACACUGCUUCAGUCCACAAGCGCACCGCUUCGGUCCGUGAGCGCGCUGCUUCGGUGCGGCGUGGGACACUUACCAAAGGACCUGAAACAAUAACUCUGUGACCUACUGUGUACAUCUCAGUGGAUGCCAACUCAGAUGUCCAGUGAUGAUACUGGAAAUGUCAACAUGGUUAACUGUUUCAUUGUUCAUCGAAGCGUAUAACAAAGGAGAGAGAGGACCGUGGUGUGAAGAGCUGCACAAUCUACUGUUUAUGAGAGCACCCAUCCACAAACCAAGGUAUAUCACAGAACCCAGUGUGACAUCCAAGUCAUACUUCCCCAUUUCUGUCUCUCAAGUUCAACAGGCUCAGUGGGAUGGACAAACUUCACAAGAAGGAAAAACAGCAUAGUGAGCUAGUGUUGCUUCUGGAACCCAAGAGAAAGGAACCAAGCCUUGGGCGGGCAGCAGAGGAUACAUAUGAGCAUAUGUUAAACAUCUGCAUAUUUUCUUGUGAUCAACAUGCCACAUAAACAGAGCUUAUUUUUUGGCUGGAGUUAGGAAGAAUCCUGUCACCUUUUUCCUUUUUCAGCCAGUGCUCUGAUACUGUUGUUGGUUUUUGGGUCUCUCAAGUACAGUGUAUUAUUGGUUUUGUACAGUAUGAUUUCUUUCACUGUUGAGAUUCUGCAUGGGUUAAAGGCCUGAUGGAAUACCAGGCAUAACCUCACACCUCCUUUGACAGCAACCUCCGUCUUUAAAUUGACAUGUGUCCAGAGUUAGAUUUAUGGUACAUUUCUGUAGAGGGUUCUAAUCUGUAUGCACAGCAACAGGAAACUAUGGCUAAUAUUGCUUUGCCCUUCUAGAGAACCUUUCUGCGCAAUAAUUAAACUCCACAAUCAUCCUGUGGGGCAAAAGAGGAUCAUUAGGCCCAGUUUACAAAGAGCUACUGACUAUUUCAGCACUGCACCAGAGAGAGAGAGAGAGAAAGGCCAGAGCUGUAAACCUACAGGCACUAAUGACAUCUUUAAAAAAAUGGCUGAUGUUUCCUGUUUAGGGGUACAAAGUUUACAAAAUACUUACGUAUUCUGAGCAGAAACAUUCUGAAUAAAGUGAUACUUUAUUACCAUCAUCCAUAGAAGGAGCAAGAAGGGGCAAAAUCUUAUAAACUUGCCCUCUGCAGUCCUUUGACCAUUCUGCCCUUCUGUCUUCCUUCCUUUUUCUACUGAGCUCAUCACCAUGGUAUCUGAAUGUCUGCUGGCACCUCCCCAACACCUCUGCACAAAUGUCUGAACUACAGCAUAAUGAGCAGCGCAAAGCUGGGUGAGGAUGUUAGUAGAUUUUUAAAUGCUGUUUCAUUUUGUGAUUCUUUAUAUCCUUUGAAAGCAAAACAGUUAUUUGAGGAUCUAUACCAGUGAUUCUCGGUCCGGAUGCCAUGGCACCCUAGGGUGCCUUAAGAUUCUUUCAACAGUGCCAUGAGGUUACACACAACGUUAGCACUGUUAGGUGUGCAAACAUAUGAUUCACAAGAUAAACCCAGGGAUUUCAAACAGAAACCCAUAGUUGUAAUCUUUCUGAGUUCUUUGCAACAGAAAAAUUGCUCUAUUAUUUUUCUGCAGUCAAAAACGAGUGAAAAUUAACAGCCAAUAUUUUCCAAGAGGUGCCUUGAGUGUAUCCAGGGGUGCCUCAAGUCUAAAAAGGUUGAGAACCAGUGGCCUACACUAUUGCAUGUCCAUGCAUAGUUACUAGUGCUUGUUUGGAUUUGCAUCGAUGUUCUGUGCAAUUUUUUCAAUGGGUUUUGUGUUUUGACCAGUUGCCCUAAGACUUUAUGACAGCAGCUUCAAUAUCCUGGCAGUGACUUUGAUGAUUUCACUCCUGGGUAGUGGGUUCAGAACUGAACUAAAAGUCUGGUGCCUUGAGUAAGAUGGACACCUUAGAGGCAGUGGGAGCAAAAAAUUUUGGCAAGCAUGCCACACCCGCCUGGAAUAUCACUCCAACCUGCUUCUGCCAGAUCUGUUACUUUGCUUUCUGCUCCCUGUCCUAUCUCCUGCUGUGUUUGCUGCUCCCUCCCCAAUCUGCCAUGUGUUUUAUACAGACACUGUCUGUGCCACGUGUUGCAUGUGUGCCACAAAUUGGCCACCCCUGCCUUCAGGCAAGGAGGAUCCUAAUCAGACUUAACAGUACAAAAACAGAAAGAGGUGUUACAUACUUACAUUUCUCAUUCAAAAGGGACAACAUUCGGAUGAUGAAGUUGAAGAUGAUGCCCGGGCAAGUCAAUUCAGCCAAGUUUGUCUGCAGAGCGGUGACUUGAAGCAGUGGAAUUUUUUCAGAAAAACAAAGAAAUUAGGGGUUUAUACUUGGUCUUAAAAGCUACAUGGCCUGGAAGACUUGGCAAGGAAGGAACUCAGAAAAGCUACUCACAAGCACAGUGCCUUGGGCAGAGAAGAGGAAGAGAAGGGCGUGACUUCAUAACAGAGGGCUGGCUUAAGUGCAGGACCAGCUGAGGAAGAAAAAGAAUUGUGCUGGAAAAAGAAACUCCAUGAUUAGAAGGACGUAUUGUAAAGGAGGGGAGGAUCUGGGCCUCCUCAGAAGAUAUUCUCCUUACCACAAAGAGUACUCAAAAGUAGUGAGGAAACAGAAGCACAUAAAUGUGUAUAGGUAGUUAUAAUUUUGUUUAUAAACUGCAUACUUCCUGUGCUAGAUAAAGUAGUGAUUGCUUUUUGUAAAUGUCUAUUUGCUUCAACUAUCAUGGUUCCUUGAGGAGGUGACCUGUAAAUCAAUUUGUUGCUUUCCCAAACAUAGGGUACAUCUACACAUGCAAUUAAAGUGAAGUAACAAACUUA